AUGAACGCUGGCGGCGCGCCUAACACAUGCAAGUCGAACGAUUAAAGCACCUUCGGGUGUGUAUAAAGUGGCGAACGGCUGAGUAACACGUGGGCAACCUGCCCCUUUCAUUGGGAUAGCCACGGGAAACCGUGGAUAAUACCGAAUACUUCGAGACUUCCGCAUGGAAGACUCGAGAAAGCUCCGGCGGAGAGGGAUGGGCCCGCGGCCUGUUAGCUUGUUGGUGGGGUAACGGCCUACCAAGGCAAUGAUGGGUAGCUGGGUUGAGAGACCGACCAGCCAGAUUGGGACUGAGACACGGCCCAGACUCCUACGGGAGGCAGCAGUGGGGAAUCUUGCACAAUGGGCGAAAGCCUGAUGCAGCGACGCCGCGUGCGGGAUGAAGGCCUUCGGGUUGUAAACCGCUUUCAGCAGGGACGAGGCGAAAGUGACGGUACCUGCAGAAGAAGCCCCGGCUAACUACGU
rnacentral:rRNA from 1 species